UACGUAGGUGGCAAGCGUUGUUCGGAAUUAUUGGGCGUAAAGGGCGCGUAGGCGGUUUGUUAAGUCGGCUGUGAAAGCCCGGGGCUCAACCCCGGAGGGUCAGCCGAUACUGGCAGACUAGAGUACGGAAGAGGUAGCUGGAAUUCCUGGUGUAGCGGUGAAAUGCGCAGAUAUCAGGAGGAACACCAGCGGCGAAGGCGGCGCUCUGGGCUGGCACUGACACUGAGGAGCGAAAGCGUGGGGAGCGAACAGG
rnacentral:rRNA from 1 species